GAAAUUGAAAUUGAAUCGCGAUUAUUAGUUAACGCGUAUUUAUUCAAUUUUAUGAUUUUCUUUCUUAGGUCUCAGUCGAAAUUUCAGUUUAAAUCUAUACAUGGAAAAACAGAAUUUACUCUUGUGUAAAUCAACUUUUACAUGAGUCAUAAAGUAACAUUGAGGAAAAGUAAAUUAAACGAAUCAGCCAAGAAAAAAUAAGCUGAUAAGACAAUGUAUCAUCCUAAUGUGAAAACAGAAUGAGAUAAACCAUGAAUACAUAAAACGUGUCUGCCAUGCAAAUUAAUAUUAAAUUAAUUUAUUUUAUCACAUAACACAUGAUAAAUUAUAUAUACACUACUGGUAAACGGUCAGUUAAACAAUUUAUUAGAGAACAAGAAGACAAGAUAUUCAGGACUAUUCAGUUGCAUAUAGUUACCACAUCAACAGAAGCAGAGUUAAUUCAUAGUAACAAUUGGCAAUCUGUUAAUAAUAAAUUACGUAAAGCAAUAACAAUUGAAAUAUCGAUUUCGUAAGAAUAAACUGGGACGAUGACGAGCUAUUGUAUCGUCGUUAAAUUAACGAAAUAAACGAAUAUCUGAUGUAUUUGUUCACAAAUAAGCGCAAAAAAAAAAAUCAGAACUGCAAUACUACCAACAUUAGUUAUUAACAGCUUAUAAACAAAAAGGAAAGUCAGCAGUGAAUACGCUACACAACAACGUAGCUUUCAUUCAAAACAAAGAAAGCAGCUGUUCGAGAAUCAGUAAAUGACAAAGAUAUAUAAAGAUGCGUCAAGGCUCGAAAUAAUAAGAAAAACAUAUAAAUUCAAGGAAGACGAUCGGAAACGCGUAGGCGAAUGAAAAAAUCAAUAAUGAAAAAUAUUACUUACCACUUGUGUAGGCGAUGACAUUUUAGAUUAUAGAAUAAUUUUGAUCUGAAUAAUGUUUCAGGAAAUGAGUUUUAAAUAAAUUAUGUAAAGCGUAGAGAAGGUGAAGCUGUUUCAUAAUUUGAAUUAUGUCGCAUGGUAUCGUAUUGAUCGAUGGAUCGUAUCGACCAUUUUAAAAAUUUGGCGCUCGUUUACCUGAAUACAAAAGCGUGAUAAAAAAAAAAGCACAAUUUGAGGUAUGUAAUU